rnacentral:rRNA from 1 species
UGGUGGAGUGAUUUGUCAGGUUAAUUCCCUUAACGAACGAGACCUUAACCUGCUAAAUAGAAGCGUUUAUAUAUUAAACGUAUUCUUCUUAGAGGGACUACUGUACAUCAAGACAGUGGAAGUUUGAGGCAAUAACA